UGGCGGACGGGUGAGUAAUGUCUGGGGAAACUGCCUGAUGGAGGGGGAUAACUACUGGAAACGGGAGCUAAUACCGCAUAACGUCGCAAGACCAAAGAGGGGGACCUUAGGGCCUCUUGCCAUCGGAUGUGCCCAGAUGGGAUUAGCUAGUAGGUGGGGUAAAGGCUCACCUAGGCGACGAUCCCUAGCUGGUCUGAGAGGAUGACCAGCCACACUGGAACUGAGACACGGUCCAG
rnacentral:rRNA from 1 species